rnacentral:lncRNA from 1 species
CGCUGUAACAGGGCCCCCCCGUGCACGUACUUGUGCUUGUGUGUGAGGCCUUGCACCGUGGUGGUGCACGCGCUUGUGCGUGCGCUUGUGCACGAGGCCUUGCACCACAGUGGUGCGCGCUGGUGGCUCGUGCGCAGCUGUGCACACCCCUCCCCCCUGCGGUGCACUCUCAUCCACGCUCAUGGACUCACCGUCACCUUGCACACUUGUGUGCUCACACUCAUUGUGCACAUUUGUGAGUGCGCCACCCCCCAUGCACACACACCCCCGUGCACACACACAUGCACCACACAUGUUUUGUGCACGCAUGCACACGCUUGUGCCACGUGCAAGCCCAGCCCUCGUGCACACUUGUGCACACAGCCCCUUGCACACUUACAGCCUGGGUGCACUGCAGCCACGUGCACACACACACUCACCCCCCACCAUGCACUCAUUUGUGCUCUCACCCCCUUGCACACUCACCCUUGCACAUUCGUUUUACACACUUAUGCAUUCAUCCUUGCACACUUCCCUCACUCACUCAUGCCUAGUGCCCUCACCCCUUCCACACUCUCCCUUGCACGCUCUUGUGCUCAAUCCUUGCACACUCACCUCUGUACACUCACACCCUCUGCACUCGUGCACUUUUCCUUGCACACACACACACACACUCACUCACCCCCACACAUGCACUGUGUACAAUCCCCACUUGCACACUCAUGCACAUUUCGUGCACACUCCCCUUGCACACUCACACCUCAUGCAGCCCUCACACAACUCCUUUUUGCACACUCACACUUCUCGCACCCCCCUUUGCACACUCACUCCUCAUGCAUCCCCGUUGCGCACUCACACUUCUUGCACCCCCACUUGCACAAUUCCCUUGCACACUCACACCUCGUUCCCCCCCGUGCCCCCCCCUUUGCACACGCACUCCCUGCACACGCCCCCUUCUGGUGCACUUGUGCCCCCCCCCGCUGUGCACCACUCCCUUGCACGCUCACACUCGUGACCCCCCCUCCCCCCCCCAAUAAAGCCCCUUCUGCUCCCGAAUGGACCUGGGGU